AGAGAGAGAGAGAGAGAGAGAGAGAGAGAGGGCAGGUAGCAUCAUAGGCUCUGGUCUUGUUUAGUCCGAAAAUUUUUUAGUUUUACGUAUUGUAGCAUAUUUAUUUUUAUUUGAUAAUUAUUGUCUAAUCAUGAACUAAAUAUACUUAAAAGAUUCAUCUCAUGAUUUAUAUUUAAACUAUACAAUUAGUUUUUAUUUUUAUUUAUAUUAUUAGAGUGUCAGAAGAUUAGCCAGAAAAAUAGGCGAGGCCCUGCUGCAUGGGACCCUGAAGUCUGAACGCGUCUGGCUCCGACCUCUCCUCGACGUGCAGUCCCCCUCUGGAUCAAAUUGAAGAAGGCCACACACGAAAUCGGCUCACGGCAGGCAAGAACCAAAGCAUCCUGGGCUGGUGAGUUGGGUUUGGCCCAACUAGUUACGACUCAUGAGGGAAAGGACCGAACCCAGAAGGAUGCAGGAGUAGGCCGAAAAGAAUCAGCCACACAAAAAAAAAAAAGGCUUCUCCAUUUCGUUUUCCCACAGAGAACACAACUUUUCUAUUUACAGGAUUUUCAGAACUCUGAUUUAAAGGUUCAGAUACAUUUUUUUUAUAACAGCAAAAUUUAGAAAAUGCAUGCAAGGAAAUAUUAUGCGGC
rnacentral:lncRNA from 1 species